GUACUUUAUUUAAAAGAAGAUUUCAUCUCAAGUCAUGGAGCCAGUGAGCAAUGGCUGCAAACAGCCUCGUUGAUGUUGUAUGCAGCUCUCACUUACAUAUGUGUUCCCCUAAGGAACCUUGAAGAUAUCC
rnacentral:snoRNA from 1 species